GCCGGGCCGAUACCGCGGGCGCCCCCUGGUCGUGUGGAGGGCGAUGAGCGAACGACCCUGGACUUUCUGAAUGGGACCCCAGCAAGGCACACGGGGUCUUCAAUGCAAUGGGCGCUUCCAGGGUACGGCGUCCCUUGGGUCCAGAACGUCUUAUACUGUCUCCUGUCACGGCCCCGACAGAAACGGUUUCUGAGGAGUAGAAGUGUCCUAAGUGGAAAUUACAAAUGCCGGAAAGAACCUAGGAAUGGAAAGCAGCCCUCAACUCAGCCCACCAGCACCCGGUUGAAAUAAACAGCCAUGUUGCUCACACAAAGCCUGUUUGGUGAUCUCUUCACAUGGACACAUGAAACAUUUGGUGCCGAAGACCCAAGUCAGUGGGACUCCUUUGGGAGACCAGUCCCCUGCCCUCACCCUCACUCAGUGAAGAGAUCCACCUACGACCUCAGGUCCUCAGACCAACCAGCCCAAGGAAAAUCUCACUGAUUUUAAAUCAGUGAAGUAAUUGAUCAACUCAAUGAAGAACAGAUGAAUGGAUGGAUGGAUAGAUAUAAAUUCUAUUAUUAAGUAAAUUGGGUCCCUCCAAAAUCCAUAUGUUGAAGCCCUAACCCCCAAUAUGACUGUACGUGGAGAUAGGGCCUUUAGGAGGGUAAGUAAAGCUAAAUAAUGUUAUAAGGGUGAGGCCCUAAUCUGGGUGUCCUUAUAAGAAGAAGAAGAGAAACCAAAAUGCACUGCAUGCUCUUUUUCCCUGUGUGCCCAGAUAAGAGACUGGGAGUAGAGGCCUCACCAGAAACCAACCCUGACGACACCUUAAUCUUGGAAUUCCAACCUCCAGAACUGUGACAAAAUUAAUUUGUUGUUUAAGUACCCAGUCUAUGCAUUUAGUUAUGGCCACCAGAACAGAUGACUGCAGAUACUUUGUUGGACAUAUGACUAUUCUAGAUACUGUUUGUGAGUAGAAUGUACGGAGUGAAUCUUAUAUUGCUGCAAAUGCUGUAGUCAGAAGAGUGCUGGACGGAAGUAAGAAAACUCAGGUACAAUCGAGUUCUAGCUCUGCCUCUUCCUGUAGGUGUGAAUAUGACAGUUACUUCACCCCUAUGAGCCCGAGCUCCUUUAUCUGUAAAAGGCUAGAUUCCUUCUCAAGGCCCUCACAGCUCGGGAAUUCUAAUAAUAAAUAUCCAGGAAAUGUCAGUGGGUAUAAAUUAUUACUCAUCAUGCAUUAUUAGUCUUCCUUAGAGAGAACUGUAGGUCUAGCACAUAAGAGUUGAAGUCCCAUACAAUAAUAAGAAAAAUCAUGUAAGAGUUCCUUUAUUUCUGUACUUCUGUGCUUUAUAGACUUGGGAUACAUGUCAGUGUGCCAAGGAGAAAGAAAAACCCCACUACAAAUAGGGCUUUUCUGCAAGAGAGUCAAUUUUUUUUUUUUUUUUUUUGAGACGGAGUCUUGCUCUAUCUCCCAGGCUGGAGUGCAGUGGUGCGAUCUCAGCUCACUGCAAGCUUUGCCUCCUGGGUUCACGCCAUUCUCCUGCCUAAGCCUCCUGAGUAGCUGGGACUACAGGCGCCCACCACCACACCUGGCUAAAUUUUGUAUUUUUAGUAGAGACGGGGUUUCACCGUGGUCUCUAUCUCCUGACCUCGUGAUCUGCCUGCCUCGGCCUCCCAAAGUGCUGGGAUUACAGGCAUGAGCCACCGCACCCUGCCAAGAGGGUCAAUUUUAUAAAGAUUUUGAGAAAGGAAAAUAUAAAGUAAGUAAUGCAAAAUGUGAAUAAAACAGUAAGUUAAAACAUGACAUUCUGAAAAAAGGUUUGGCUUCUGGUGGACAUCUUUGCUCAUCCAUUCAUUCUCUAUUAUUUACUUUCUUUCUCACUGGGGACAUUUUAACAGAAAAAUGUUGUAAUGUACUGCAACAGAUAAAUCUUAUAGGACCUAAUUUGGAUACGGUUUCAGAUUUAUUUGCAAGUAGACUGUAUUCAGAAGUGGAUUCACAGAACAAAAUUAUUCUUUGGC